rnacentral:rRNA from 1 species
UACGUAGGGUGCAAGCGUUGUCCGGAAUUAUUGGGCGUAAAGAGCUUGUAGGCGGUUUGUCGCGUCUGCUGUGAAAUUUCGGGGCUCAACCCCGAACUUGCAGUGGGUACGGGCAGACUAGAGUGUGGUAGGGGAGAAUGGAAUUCCCGGUGUAGCGGUGAAAUGCGCAGAUAUCGGGAGGAACACCGGUGGCGAAGGCGGUUCUCUGGGCCUUACCUGACGCUGAGGCGCGAAAGCCAGGGGAGCAAACGGG